UACGGAGGGUGCAAGCGUUAUCCGGAUUUACUGGGUUUAAAGGGUGUGUAGGCGGACUUUUAAGUCAGCGGUGAAAUCCCAGAGCUUAACUCUGGAACUGCCAUUGAUACUAUUGGUCUUGAAUACUGAUGAGGUGGGCGGAACGGGUCAUGUAGCGGUGAAAUGCUUAGAGAUGACCCGGAACACCGAUUGCGAAGGCAGCUCACUGGGCAGUUAUUGACGCUGAGGCACGAAAGCGUGGGGAUCAAACAGG
rnacentral:rRNA from 1 species